UCAAACUCAGAAAUCUGCCUGCCUCUGCCUCCCAAGUGCUAGGAUUAAAGGCAUGCGCCACCCUCGCCCUGCCUGGGUUCUUUAUCUUAGUCUUCAAUUAUCUCAGCAAAUCCUGCUCUAGGAUGGGAGAAAUGGUUCAGUAUUUAAGCCUGUGAUUUUGUUGUAAAGGACCUGGAUUCUAUCCAGCACUCAGUUCAGGUGGCUGAAACACCUGUCUACAGAUCCAGCAGGCUCUGACACCUCUCUUGUGUACACAGGACAGACUUACAGACUCAUCAUCUAUUGUUAUCUAAACAGAGCCAUAAACUUCUGCAUAGACAGACUCAAUCCUCUGCCUGCUAAUGGAAUGCUGGGAACAGAUAAAAGGCCACUGUGAAAAGGUCCUCCAGUUGAUGUGGAGGGUUUUUUGUUUUGUUUUGUUUUCUAGACUCUAUGGUCCUCAGUAGGAGAGGGCCAGUUCAGAGGCAAGGGUGUUAGUGGUGGAGUAGAGUAGGCUCCUGAGGCUGCUGGAUCGAUAACGCCCACUGUGGGUUCAUUACCAGACCCAUGCCCAGCCCUGUUCCAUCACCCAAACUUGCUCAGAAGGAUUCCAGCCCUGAGCCCCAGCAGAUGGGGUCCGCAGGGUGUAAUAGCUCCAGCCUGUCAAUUUGAAAUUGGCAGUGAGAUGAGACUUGUACCCACUCCUCAUUCGAAUCCCAUGGUACCAGGAACUUCUUGGAAUGCAUUGGGCCUAUAAAAUAACCGGCCCUAUCAUAUACCUUGCAGCAGCUCCUGGUGCUCUACAAUCCUUUAGCUGUGCAAAUAAUUAUCUAAGAAUGAGCCACAAAUGUGCUUCCUUUUUAAACAAAGAUCAGUUGUUUUCUGUUUAAAUAUUUACUUGGGUUUUUUUUUUUUGAACUUUUAUUGGUUCUUUAUAAAUUUCACAUCACCAACCCCAAUUCUACUCAUUCCUUUCCUGCCUCCACCCUUGCAACCUCUCCUCCAACAGAGAAAAACAAAAAUCUCAUUGUCACAGUGUGUCCCGCAGUCUACUCUUUUGUCCACUCUUCUUUGCUUGCAAAUGUUCAUUGCAAUGAAUCAUUGGUCUGGUUUGAGACCUCUGGCUUCUGCUACACUAUCAGUACUGGAAGCUCAAUGGGACUCCUCUCAGAUAUCCUGUUGCUACAUAGUGUGAUGGAGAUGGUGCAGCCUUGGAUCUGUAAGACGGGCCCCUUCAUGUGCUCCAGCCGUUCAUAGAUGGGAUAGAUGUUGGAGUGGAUCUGGGCCUGAGAGGUAUCUGAGUUGGUCAGCCUGACAGCUCUCCUGCACCCACACCACUGGUGUGGCCAGCAAGGGGCAGAGCCAUCUAGCUCUGCUCUCCUGCCCUUGGUGCUGGCUCAUCCUCACCCAUGCCAUUAGGGUCAGCUAUACUGUGGUAUAGCUAUAGGGUCAGCUACACUGUGCUGCCCAGGCAAGGUGCAGGGCCCCGCUCUCCUGAGUGCUGCAGCAGGUCAGAACUGGGUCGGCUCUCCCUCCGUCAUGACCCCAGGGCCAGCUCUCCUACUCGAUAAAGUGGCAGGAUCGCAGUGGAGUACAGACCUACAGAAGAGGAUCUAGAUGCCAGGAGUGAAGAAGAACUGCAGAAUUUAAUCCAGGUCAGCUGCUCUUCUUGGAGUCAGCCCAGCCAAAGAGAGGAAGAAUGUCUCUCGGAUUUCCUGGAGGAGGAAGACCUGAAGCCCUGUGAACUGCACUAGCAGCUCUGACUGUCAGAGGACCUGCUGUCUGACUUGGAUGGGAAGUCCUGCCUGUUGGGAGCUAAGGCAUGGCCACCCGACCCUCUGCCCCUCGACUAGCCUGAGAACUGCCUGACAUUCACCUGGGUUGAAACAUCCUGUGCCUGUUUACCAAGAGGUAGUAUACCAAGACCUUCUGAAAAGAACUAGGAAAUGUUCUGGACCCCCUGCCAGCAUCUGCCGAAUGGACAACCCUGGAGUGAACCCAUUGUUCCCUGCCCCUCCCUUUUUCCACUUUUGUGAAGUAUAUAUUGAGCAGUUUGCUCUAAGUAAAGUAGACCUUGACAAACC